rnacentral:sRNA from 1 species
GCAGCCUCCUGCCUGAAGGCCACCUGAACCUAACGGCUCCCUGCAACGCUGCCUGCAGCUGCCAGCCAGAGCACUACAGCCCUGUGUGCGGCUCGGAUGGCCUCAUGUACUUCUCACUGUGCCACGCAGGAUGCCCUGCAGCCACAGAGACGAAUGUGGACGGCCAGAAGCAGCAUUCCUGCACUAACGGCAACUCUACGAUGUGUCCGUGACCCUCAGAGAUCCUUUGCCCUGGGAAUCCAGUGGAUUGUAGUUAGAAUACUAGGGGGCAUCCCGGGGCCCAUCGCCUUCGGCUGGGUGAUCGACAAGGCCUGUCUGCUGUGGCAGGACCAGUGUGGCCAGCAGGGCUCCUGCUUGGUGUACCAGAACUCGGCCAUGAGCCGCUACAUACUCAUCAUGGGGCUCCUGUACAAGGUGCUGGGCGUCCUCUUCUUUGCCAUAGCCUGCUGCUUAUACAAGCCCCUGUCGGAGUCUUCAGAUGGCCUGGAAACUUGUCUACCCAACCAGUCCUCGGCCCCUAACAGUGCCACGGAUAGCCAGCUCCAGAGCAGCGUCUGACCACCGCCCACGCACACACGGCCACGGCAGGCACUCGGCAUUUCCUGAUGACAGAACAGUGCCCUUGGGUGAUGCAAUCACGUGGAAACUUCUAUUUGACCUGAGACCUUCUACUUAACCUGUGGUUUAAAGUCGGCUGUGACCUCCUGUCCUCAGAGCUGUACGGCCCUUCAGUGGGUGGGAGGAACUUGCAUAAAUAUAUAUUUGUGGACACAUUUUGCACCAGAACAUAUUUAUAGAAUGUGUUUUAUACCAGAUC